UUGUUGUGGACGACGAGUGGGUUGAACAGGACUGGUUUCACGGUAGGAUUUUGUCAUGGAAACGAGGAAAUAGACAUUGAGACCAAUGUACUUUCAAGAUUAUUGCAUCAUAAAUGGGACCAGAUUGUCGACAUCUUGCCACACGCCAUGAUAUUGACGAAAUCGUCGUCGUCGUCGAAACGAGCAACCCCGGACCGACGGAAAAGUGCACGUCAUGAUGUUUGUUAGAUUUGUCAAGUCGUGUCCAAGAGAAGAAAGGAAUGCACGACGUCGGUGCUGUCGUGCAGUGGAUCGAUACCAAGCACUACUGAUGACGGUAGAGGAGCAGGAGGAAACCGGGGGUUCCACAGGAGUAGGUGGUAAUUGCAUCACAGAUCACGCAGGAUUCACCUGCGGUGUGCUUGAUAGUGAUACAGCUUGGUAUGAUCAAUAUUAAUAUGUACUAUUAUAACUUAGACCCAUGCAGUAUGUAUGGACGGUACUUCAAAAAAGUACCGUCACAUCGCCGGCUAUAUAGGCAGCUUGUACGUUCGCUGGGCUUUUGGUUUCCUGGGCAAGGAUAUUCGUGUUGUGGUUCCAUGCUGUGCAGUCAGUCUGCAAGGUGCAUGAGGGCAUUCGAGUUUCCUCCACAAGUUUGGACCUGAGGAUGAAGCAGAAUUUGUUGGAUUCAUGGAAGCCAUGGAGGAGGAAGCCAUGGAGGUGUCCGUCCGAGCAGAUCAUGUCAAUCAAUGAUCAAUGAAUGUGUUGUGACAAUGACUAUAGCUGUGUUGUGAUGAUAUAGCCAAGUGAGAAAGACAAUGACAAUCACACAAUGUUUAUCAAUAAUGUUCUUCUAUUUUUAUUUGUAAUAAAACUUCGAGUGAACAUUGUUAAUUCAAAA